rnacentral:rRNA from 1 species
CCUACGGGUGGCAGCAGUAUGGAAUCUUUCACAAUGGGCGAAAGCCUGAUGGAGCAACGCUGCGUGCAGGAUGAAGGCCUUCGGGUUGUAAACUGCUUUUAUAAGCGAGAAAUAUGAUGGUAACUUAUGAAUAAGGAUCGGCUAACUACGUGCCAGCAGCCGCGGUCAUACGUAGGAUCCGAGCAUUAUCCGGAGUGACUGGGUGUAAAGAGUUGCGUAGGUGGCAUAAUAAGUAGCUAGGGAAAUCUGGUGGCUCAACCAUUCAGACUAUUAGCUAAACUGUUAAGCUCGAGACCGUUAGGGGUAACUGGAAUUUCUAGUGUAGGAGUGAAAUCCGUAGAUAUUAGAAGGAACACCAAUAGCGUAGGCAGGUUGCUGGGACGGUUCUGACACUAAGGCACGAAAGCGUAGGGAGCAAACGGGAUUAGAUACCCGAGUAGUC